CCAUUCAUGCCUGCUUCCUUGUCUUGCUUCCUUCUCAUUGCGUCUCCUGUCACCCCACUUUUUCCAUCCCUAGCCAUUAGUUUCCUGAUUAGUCUGCACUUUCUGCUCCAUUUACCGGUAAGUGACCGUCUCUCAAAUACUCUCAACUCCAGCUUUGCCAUGUGCCCAGUUUUCUUGCCUAACUGGUCAGCAGGCCAUCUGGAACUGGGAAGAAUAUACUGUUAGAAGCUGUGGGGUAGAAUGAGGUCACUCAGCAGGUGAUGGAAAGGAAAAUAGCCACAGGGCUCCCGAUAAAGCCAAAAAGGGGAAGAAGACUGAUAUAACCAGACUGAGCUUCCAGCUAAAGAGGAAGGCGAUGAGCACGGCCACAAAGAUGUUAGUGAAGGAAUUGACCAUCAUCCCAACUUGAGAGCCAGUAGCCUGCAAAUCAAAAGCAAGGUCCCACCCAGACCCUCUCCCUGAUGGAAUGGCAGCUGGAGAGGUCAGUAAAGCCUGAUCUUGUCCUCCAUCCCAGACCAAUAACAGAAGGAUGGCCAGUAAACAAGCCAUAGACUCAUAUUUGUUGAAUGCUGAAGGAAUGACCAUCCAGAGACUGUCCCACCUGGGAUCCAUUCCAUAUACAAUCACCAAACCCAGACAGUAUUGUGGAUGCCAAUAAGUGCUUGCUGACAGAAGCCUGAUAUAGCUGUCUCCUGAGAGGUCCUGCCAGUGCCUGGCAAAUACAGAAGUGGAUGCUCACAGCCAUCCAUUGGACUGAGCACAGAGUCUCCAAUGAAAGGAGCUAGAGAAAGGACCGAAGGAGCUGAAGGGGUUUGCAUAGGAGGAACAACAAUAUGAACUAACCAGCACUCUCAGAGCUCCCAGGGACUAAACCACCAACCGACCAUGAGUGCACAUGGUGGGACUCAUGGCUCCAGAUGCAUAUAUGUAGCAGAGGAUUGCCUUGUUGGUCAUCAAUGGGAGGAGAGGCCCUUGGUCUUGUGAAGGCUCUAUGCCCCAGUGUAGGGGAAUGCCAAGGCCAGGAAGGGGGAGUGGGUGGGUUGGUGAGCAGAGGGAGGGGGAAAGGAAAGGGGGUUAUCAGAGGGGAAACCAGUAAAAGGGAUAACAUUUGAAAUGUAAAUAAGAAAAUAUCUAAUAAAAAAAGAUGAUGUUAAUGGCUGAUAUUUGCAUAUGACACUUUAUGCAAAAUAAAUGUUAAUAAAACAUGAAAAGAUAAAAAUUAAAAAAUAAAUGGCUAGAGAUGUUUCUACCCA
rnacentral:lncRNA from 1 species